rnacentral:rRNA from 1 species
GAGUUUCGAUCCUGAGCUCAGAAUGAACGCUGGCGGUAUGCUUAACACAUGCUAAGUCUGCAGACGAAUGAUAAGUGGCCGACCGGGUGAGUCUUGNACCGUCAAUAAAUCUACCUUUAGGAAAGAAAUUUAACAGUUGGGAAAACGAACUGCUAAUGUCUUAUAUGCUUGAGGAGUAAAAAGUGAAAUUAACUUAUUAAAAUUAGUCAGCCUUUAGAUGAUUUUACGCCUGAUUAGUUUGUUGGGGUGGGGUAAUGGCUUACCAAGACAAUGAUCAGUAGCUGGUCUGAGAGGAANUGAUUUCAGCCACACUGGGAAACUGAGAACACGGGCCAGACUUCCCUACGGGAGGCAGCAGUGGGGAAUAUUGGACAAUGGGCGCAAGCCUUGAUCCCAAGCAAUUGUCCCCGGCGUGUUGGUUGAAAGAAAGGCCCUUUCCGGGGGUUGUAAAAAGCACCUUUCAAUCGGGGGGAAGAAAAAAGGCGGUGUCGGGGUUAACCAGGCGGGGGGCGGUCUUUGGACGGUGAUCCCGAGUAAUCAACAGGGAAAAGCGACCCCGGGGGUAACUCCGUGGCCAGGAGCCGGGGUGAAUACCGGAGGGGUUGGCGCCAAAGCGUUUAAAUCCGGAAUUACUUGGGCCGUUAAAGCGGCAACCGCCAGGGCGGUUGGGUUAACGUCACGAUGNUGANACGCCCCCGGGCUUCAACCUUGGGGGGAAAACUUGGGCAUUUUUGAUUAACCUUGGGGCCCCGGGACCCUAUUAAAAAGAAGGUCCACGAGAAUGCGGG